AAAACAUGCCUGGCAAUAAAGCUGAUUCUGAUUCUGAUUUUCCUAUAACAGAAUGACCCUAGGAGAUAUUGCUUAUUUAAUCAAUGACUUUCAGAAUUAGAUUCAAGACUUCAACAGCACUGUGUACUUGAACUUGGAUUGCUGGGUGGAAUGGAUGUGAAGGACACGGAAAGGCGAAUUAUGAAGCAGGUCAUCAAAAAUGACUUGGCCAAAGCGGUGAACUGGAGAGGUUUAUAUGGAAAAACACCUUUCCAAACUUUGGAACCUAAAAACAAGUGACUGAGGCUGUAAGAAGAAAUCUAAUUUGUGCACAGACAACUGAGUUGAAAAAUGUAUUUAUUGGUGGUUUCAUUGGUUGCUGACCCUGAGGGUAACAGAAAAAGAUAUCAUUUUCAUCAAGACAACAUAUUUAACAACAAAUUAAAUUAUUGCUUGGUAUCUAGUCUUUUGUAUUUUGACUAUUCUUUUUGUUUUUGUUUUAUUGUUUUUUUUUCAAUGUAUAUAAGAUUGGC